GAGUUUGAUCCUGGCUCAGGACGAACGCUGGCGGCGUGCUUAACACAUGCAAGUCGAGCGGUAAGGCCCUUCGGGGUACACGAGCGGCGAACGGGUGAGUAACACGUGGGUAACCUGCCCUGUACUCUGGGAUAAGCCCGGGAAACUGGGUCUAAUACCGGAUAUGACCACCUUCCGCAUGGUUGGUGGUGGAAAGUUCCGGCGGUAUGGGAUGGACCCGCGGCCUAUCAGCUUGUUGGUGGGGUAAUGGCCUACCAAGGCGACGACGGGUAGCCGGCCUGAGAGGGUGACCGGCCACACUGGGACUGAGACACGGCCCAGACUCCUACGGGAGGCAGCAGUGGGGAAUAUUGCACAAUGGGCGAAAGCCUGAUGCAGCGACGCCGCGUGAGGGAUGACGGCCUUCGGGUUGUAAACCUCUUUCAGCAGGGACGAAGCGCAAGUGACGGUACCUGCAGAAGAAGCGCCGGCUAACUACGUGCCAGCAGCCGCGGUAAUACGUAGGGCGCAAGCGUUGUCCGGAAUUAUUGGGCGUAAAGAGCUCGUAGGCGGCUUGUCACGCCGGGUGUGAAAGCCCGGGGCUUAACCCCGGGUCUGCAUUCGAUACGGGCUAGCUAGAGUGUGGUAGGGGAGAUCGGAAUUCCUGGGUGUAGCGGGUGAAAUGCGCAGAUAUCAGGAGGAACACCGGUGGCGAAAGGCGGAUCUCUGAGCCAUUACUGACGCUGAGGAGGCGAAAGCGUGGGGGAGGCGAACAGGAUUAGAUACCCCGGUAGUCCUAGCUGUAAACGAUGGGCACUUGG
rnacentral:rRNA from 1 species